rnacentral:rRNA from 1 species
UAGGGAAUAUUGGACAAUGGGGGGAACCCUGAUCCAGCCAUGCCGCGUGGAGGAAGACUGCCCUCUGGGUUGUAAACUCCUUUUAUAUGGGAAGAACCGUCCUCAUUGAUGAGUGACCUGACGGUACCAUAGGAAUAAGCACCGGCUACCUCCGUGCCAGCAGCCGCGGUAAUACGGAGGGUGCAAGCGUUAUCCGGAUUCACUGGGUUUAAAGGGUGCGUAGGCGGAUAUGUAAGUCAGUGGUGAAAUCAACGGGCUCAACCUGUUAACUGCCAUUGAUACUGUGUAUCUUGAAUAUGAGAGAGGUCGGCGCAAUGUUGCAUGUUGCGGUGAAAUGCUUAGAUAUGCUAAGGAACACCGAUUGCGAAGGUAGCUUACUGUUUCGUAAUUGACGCUGAGGCACGAAAGCGCGGGUAGCGAACA